AGAAGCAUACAAUAAUAACUUACAAAAUGCUUCGGUGUUCCCUCGGAGAAUCCGGGGCAUGCAUGAAUUAUCAUUCAUAAAACUGAAGAAAACCAUUUUGCAAGAUGUUGCUUCU
rnacentral:sRNA from 1 species